GCGGCAAGCAGAUGGGGAGCUAGCCCUUCCCUGUACCGCAAAUGGGCUUCAUGGCGGAUCGAAGCUUGGGUCAGGUGCAUUAUCCAAUUGCACACCUGAGUCGCUAUCUAUGAGAUCUCGCCCUAUUUGGCUCAUUACUGGGCGAAACUGGUCAGGACCGGAAGGUAGCAGCCAUAAACCCAGUAAUGGGUGCUUAUAGGACCACGGGAUCUAGAGAAAGCUUGGGUCAAUACAAUUGGAUGUGCAUCGAGCUCGAGCGGCUUGCCGC
rnacentral:SRP_RNA from 1 species